CCCUUAGAUGUUCUGGGCCGCACGCGCGCUACACUGAUGCAUUCAACGAGUCUAAAACCUGCUCUGAUAGGGGUGGGUAAUCUUUUGAAUGUGCAUCGUGAUUGGGAUAGAUGAUUGCAAUUUUUCAUCUUCAACGAGGAAUGCCUAGUAAACGCAAGUCAUCAGCUUGCAUUGAUUACGUCCCUGCCCUUUGUACACACCGCCCGUCGCUCCUACCGAUUGAAUGAUCCGAUGAAUAUCAUGGAUUGAGGAUGUAAGCAGGCUCGCCUGUCUUCAUCUUCGAGAAGUGAAGUAAAUCUUAUCAUUUAGAGGAAGGAGAAGUCGUAACA
rnacentral:rRNA from 1 species